rnacentral:rRNA from 1 species
AACGAACGCUGGCGGCAGGCUUAACACAUGCAAGUCGAGCGCCCCGCAAGGGGAGCGGCAGACGGGUGAGUAACGCGUGGGAAUCUACCCAUCUCUACGGAAUAACGCAUGGAAACGUGUGCUAAUACCGUAUACGUCCUUCGGGAGAAAGAUUUAUCGGAGAUGGAUGAGCCCGCGUUGGAUUAGCUAGUUGGUGGGGUAAAGGCCUACCAAGGCGACGAUCCAUAGCUGGUCUGAGAGGAUGAUCAGCCACACUGGGACUGAGACACGGCCCAGACUCCUACGGGAGGCAGCAGUGGGGAAUAUUGGACAAUGGGCGCAAGCCUGAUCCAGCCAUGCCGCGUGAGUGAUGAAGGCCCUAGGGUUGUAAAGCUCUUUCACCGGUGAAGAUAAUGACGGUAACCGGAGAAGGAAGGGUCGGCUAACUACGUGCCAGCAGCCGCAGUAAGAC